rnacentral:lncRNA from 1 species
AACUCGGCUCGUUACUAACCGAGCCGAGCUCAAAAUUAAGAUCGAGCUGAAUUAUGAGCUCGAGCUCGGCUCGCGAGCCAACAGUAAAACUCGAGCUCGGCUCAUUUUGGCUCGCUGGCUCGUUUGAUUAACAAGAUUCUACAUUUCUACUUGAAGAAGAAGGUUGUGAUGUUUGUUGUUGGUGAGAUCCAGAAAAGCAGCAGAUCAACAACACCCAAAUCUUAUUCUCCAUGCGAAUAUGCGAUGCGAUCUACUACUAAUACUUAUAACUACAAAUAAUAACAAACUGUCUGUAAUACUGUACCACCACCACCACCACCACCACCACCAAGAAUUAAUUAAUUAAUUAAUCUGUUGUUUUGUUGACAAGCCAUUAAUGCUUUGCUUUGGUUUGCUUGGUUGCUAGAUUCGAUUUGCUUUUGAGAUGUGUACAGCAAUUAGCAAGUUUCCAAGACCAAGGUAGCCCUCUACUAGGCUAGAGAGAGAGAAGAGAGAAGAGAAGAGAGAUAUAGAGCAAUUAGCAGGCCUCCCUCGGCCUCUACUACAGUAUAGCUGGCACGAUAGGCGAGAGAGAGAAAGAGAAAGAGCGAACAACAAUCCAAAACCACCCGCUUUUUCACUUUGAAGAAUUGAAGAAUUGAAGAGAGAAGAGAGAAGAGAGAUAAGCCCAAGGCCCAACUCCCAAGCCCAUAGUUAACGAGCUGCUCGGCUCGGCUCGUUUAGAGCUCGAGCUCGGCUCGGGCUCGUGACGAGCUCGAGCUUGGCUCGGGCUCGUGACGAGCUCAAAAACCGGCUCGAACUCGGCUCGUUUAGAUAAAUGAGCGAGCCGAUCCGAGCUUUUAUCGAGCCGAGCCCGAGCCGCUCGGCUCAGAUUGCAGCCCUAAUUAUGAUUAUAUAUCUUGCCUUAGACCCUCAGUUCUGCAAAAGAGCAAUGAUGUGUGAAAAACUGCAAUUGAACUAAAUGGACACUAAAACUGAAAAACGGUGAAUUGGUGAACUUUCGCAGCUUGAUUCUGUCAGACAUGUACUUUUUUCAUUAAAUCAUACGUAGAAAUUGAACUACAAGAACUUUAGAAAAUUUUCCAAAUACAAACCACAAACAAAAGCUAUUUUCUUGACUAGUCGCCUAGUCCAACAUCAUAAAAAUAGAAGAUCACCAACUGUGCAAAAGAAACCCUACAUAUAUCUAUAUACCUUAUAAAUAUCCACUGCCAUUCCUGUUACAGACCUCAUUAUUGUCGAUCUCCUUCAUUGUCGUCAUUAUUCAUUUCACUUGUCAGAGUAGUAAUCAUCAAUAUUUUCUUCAUUGUCCGAGUAGUAGUCUUCAUCUUCAGCAUUUUUUCCUUGAGCCAGCUUCUUGUUGUAAGCUCUCAAUUUUGUGUUAUAUUCAGCCUUCCUCUUCUCUGUCUUAGUUACAGAGGUGACCUUCUCACCACCUACAUCCUCCUUUCCCUGAUCAGGAUUUAUACUUUUUCCUGGUACCAAACCAGAAAUUUUGUCGUUAUUAUCACCUUGAGAGACUUUAGCGCCCUCUUCCGGUACCAAAACUUUGCGGUGAAAGUUUUUAUGCCAUCUACAUGCUCUACAAAACAUACCUAGGCUCCAUGGAGAAACAUCAGGUAGGUACUCAUUGCAACCAUCAGUUGCAUGCUUACCCAAAUCUGCUGCAUGAUUCCUUUGACAUUCUUUGUAAACCUCAGUAAUUUGACUUGGAUUUGAUUGAGGUGGGGUUAUUGGUCGAUCCGCUUCAUGAUCAGCCUUGUUGCUCUCUUCCGGUACCAGAACUUUGCGGUGAAAGUUUUUAUGGCAGCUACAUGCUGCACAAAACAUACCUAGGCUCCAUGAAGAAACGUCGGGUAGGUACUCAUUGCAAUUAUCAGUUGCAUGCUUACCCAACUCUGCUGCAUGAUUCCUUUGACAUUCUUUGUAAAUCUCAGUAGCCUGACUUGGUCUUGAUUGAGGUGUGGUUAUCAGCCGAUCCGCUUCAUCAACAACAAAAUUAUUGACAUCUUUUGAUAACUCCGGCUCUCUGUUGCUGAUCGAACCAACUUGUUUCUCAUUGAUCAGAUCGCUUUCAAUAGCCUUUUCCAGAACCGGUUGUUUGUUCUCACUGCCACCUCCUUCCUCCUUUCCCGGAUCAUUUAUAGCCUUGUUGCUCUUUUGGGGUACCAGAACUUUGCGGUGAAAGUUUUUAUGGCAACUACAUGCUUCACAAUACCUAGGUAUGCUCCUUGAACUAUCAAGUAUGUACUCAUUGCAACCAUCAGUUUCAUGUUUACCAACCUCUGCUCCAUGAUUCCUUUGACAUUCUUUGUAAACCUCAGUGAUGAUAUUCUCUCCUUCCAUGGCUAUUUCAAUAUAAUAUCUAUUUUAGGUACUUUGUAUGCUCUGCAACUAUUUAGUCUUCCCACUUCAAACCAAUAGAACUGUCGCCAUGAUGUUUAUAACAAAUUAGAAAACCUUCGAUAAGUAGAGAUGUUUAUAACAAGUCGCUUAGACUUAUUUAUUUCUUAGCUUCACCAAUCAUCUUCUACAUGGUUAGUGGCCGGCCGACUAAUGUAACAAAUUUUCAAUUGCACAAUUGUAGGUCAAUGCAUUUUGUUAAUGACAGAAUCAUCUCAUUUUUAAUUGAAAUGUAUAUCGAACAUGAAAUUCAAUGGUGCCAAGUCAAUGGUGCUUUGUCCUCUAUGGCAUGAACCGCGUUAGGGAUUAUAAAUAGGUGCCUUUGAGUUGACAAUUUUCCCUUACUUAUAUGAUAAGUGAUAAAUAUGUGCUCUAACGCACUUAUAUUAGGAUUCUCUUUGGUCAUUGCGCCGUACUGAAAAAUGAAGCAAAGAGUUUAAUACUUUUCCAGCUAUCCAUUUUUUUUCUUUUCAAUAUAUGAUGCAGUUGCUCUGUCGCUUUGCACUGUAAAAAAUGUACUCGAUGCAGUAAUAGCUAGGUUAAUUGAACACAUUCGGCGGCAUGGUUCUUAUAUUUUUCGUAUCGUACAAUAAAACAGUCUAAAGCCACGUAUUCAAGGCCAAAAAUUAGACUCAUGGCACUAGAAGAAAGUAAAAAUACAACAUAAUUCCGUGGCCUAGUUAAAAUUAGUUUCCAUUAGAUACUUGAUCUCCAAUGUUGGGAACUGAUUUAUCGAUCAGUCACGACUCAGGCAUUAAACUGUGUUCCAACUCAAGUGUCUUGUUUAUCAACUCUUCCAUAAUCCAAUCUAACUCUGCCUUUGGAAGUGGCUGUGCCUCAGAGACAUACUCCAGCCCACUUAGCUUCAAGACUCCAUCUAAUACCGAGGUAAUUCCAGUAAAAUCCAAUCCACUCACCUUUGUUUUAAAAAUUUUGUACUGAUAACCACACCGUAGCAUUACAAUACAUACAUUGCAACCAUCAGUUUGAUGCAUACCUAAUGUUGCCACAUGAUUCCUUUGACAUUCUUUGUAAACCUCAAUAGAAGUACUCUCUCCUUCUAUGCUUAUUCACUAAUAAUUUCACUGUAUGUUCUGCAUCUACUGUCAUUAGAGCAAGAGAAUGAAGAAUUGUAGGGACUCAUAUACUACACUGUUACAUUCAAUGGAUGAGGCAGAUUUUGUAAUCUGUGCUGGUGUUUGAAUUUCAAUUAGACUUUACUCAAUAACGUUUUAUCUAAACCAAAAACAAUUGGAGUAAUAACUUUGUUUGGUCAUUAAAUAGCCACAAGAGCAAUGCAUGCUGAGUUGUUGACACUGUUGAUGAUAGGAAUGAUAGUGUGGAAAAGUGUUCAAGAAGGCAGGACACCCUGUAUGUGAUAAGGAGCAUUAUUAGUUAGCAUUAGACAUCGAUUUCCACUUAUAUGAUUUCUCAAAUUCCUGAAACAACCAGUUGAUUUGCAAAUGCACAUAAUGUGGUACAUAACUCAAUUCAAUUGAAAUAAAAAGAACGACGUCAUUGAUCAAAACAAUUCAAAUGUACAUACGUUGUUGCUUGUACAUGAGAGUGAAGGAGAAGAUUAUCAUCAACACAUAUUAAGAGUUGAAGACCAUUGAAGCUGGGCUGAAGCAGGAAAAUAUUUGAAUUAUAAGAAGCUGCAGGUACAAUUUUGUGGCUUCAUUCAAAAUCCUUGCAGUGCUAUUUCAUAUCAUUUCUUUCAGACAAGCAUAUUGAGAACAGAAGAGGGUCUUUCAUCGUGAGAACGUGCGAAUCCAAUGAUUCAAAUAAACUCAAACCCUUGCAAUUUGAGCUUCAGAAAGUUCUUAAAAAUGAUAUUUUCAAAAACUAAACACAAAAGAGCAACUACAUAUAGAAUUGCCAAAAACAAGUUCUUGACAUAAGAACUAUAUCCACCACCUUUCCAGUAGACUAGCCAACACAAAAUAUUGCCAGAAACAGGUUCUUGACAAAUCUCAUUAUUCUGUCCUUCAUUGUCGUCGUUAUUCAUUUCAGAAUCUGACUUAAAGGGUAGUCGUCGUCAUCUUCCUGCAAAUAAAAUUGUUUACAUAACCAGUUAACCAAAUUCAUGAAUAAGAAUAUUAUUAAUUAGCAAAAAUUCUAUAACUAUUUCUUUCUUACUGACCCCAUCAAUCUCUUCUACAUCGUCCUCGUAAGCUCUCAAUUUCUUGUUAUAUUCAGCGUUCUCAUUCGCUGCCUUAGCUACAUAAGGAGCUUUCUCGACAUCAGACAUUAGCCUCCAUUUCUCUCCACAAGCUCUGCCAACAACUAAGAUCAGACGUCUUUAUUGUCGGGAUGCUCCACGCGGUAAGUUUUCCUGAAAUCUUGCAGGAAAAACAUGUAGGAAUUUUUAGGCUUCUUUGAUUUAUUUGGAUCUUUAGCUAUCCUUUCUGCAGCUGCUCGCUUUUUACUAGCACUACAUGUCAUGAGGCUGGUAAGAGAUCUUUCUUUCUUUUCCAGAGGCUGGCUAUUGAUCUUUUGUGCCAUAUGAGACUUACUCUUCCCUGUUUUCAAACAUUCAGGGUUAGUGUCUCUUGACUGAUUAGGCCUUGAAGGCGGUAUGUUUGUCUGUUCAUUCACUUCAUCCUCAGUAGUCUGAGCUGGUAUUGAUUGAUCAGGUGUGCUUAUCUGUUCAUCCAAUCCAUCCUCAGUAGUACGAUCAAUAACAAGUUUGCUGACAUCUAUUAAUGACUUCUGCUCUUUCUUGCUGCUACUCCCACCAACUUGUUUUUCACUCACCUGGUCACUUUCAAUAGCCUUUUCCAGAAACAUUUUUUUGUUCUUGCUACCACUUCCCUCUUCCUUUCCCUCGUAACCAUUUAUACUCUUUUCUGGUACCAAACUUGAAACUUUGUUCAUGUUGUCACCUUGAUUGGCUUCAGCAACCUUUUCCUGUAUCGGAACUUUGCAAUGAAAGUUUCUAUGGCAUCCACAUACUUCACAAAACUUACCUUGGGGCAUUGAAAUAUCAGAAAUGUACUCAUUGCAACCAUCAGUUGAUUUCCUACCUAAAGCUGCUGCAAAAUUCCUUUGGGAUUCUUUGUAAGUAAAGGUACCGGCCAUCUCCUUCCAUGGCUAUUUCACUAUAAUUAAUAUCGAUCUAUCUUAACCCUUAAGCUUCUGUAUGUGUUGCAUCUAUUUAUAACAGGAGCCAGAUGAAACUUGUUACAUACAGUGAAUCUAUUGAUGAGGCAGAAGCACAGUACAUAUUGUGAACUGUGCUGGUGUUUGAAUUUCAAUUAGACUUGACUCAAUAUUGUCUUAUCGAUCUUAUCUUGUUAAACCAAAAACAAUUAAUAACAUUGUUUGGUAAUUAAUUAGCAACAAGAAUACAUGAUCAUGCAUGUUGACACGGUUAAUUAUAAAUGAAACAGUCAGUAUUAUCUUGGGAUUAAUCUUCUUUUUUUUUUUGUUAAAGGUCUUGGGAUUAAUCUAGAGUCAUGCAUGUUGAUCAAAAAAAUGAUAAGUCAAAAGUAUAAUAUUGUUGUGUGGAAAAUACAUGAAGAAGGAACGUAUUUCCUUGCGAGAGCAAGUUUAUCCAAUGAAGAAGAUCAAGUUAAUUUAUGGUCUACCAAACCUUAAACAUUUAUGAACAUAAAAACUAUUACAAGGAGAUAUUUGAGGUUUAGAAAAGUUUCAUAUAUUAGCAGCAACUAUUUCUGUCAUUCUUUCUUCUCGAUCAUAGUCCUCUUAAGCUAAAGGUGUUUCUGAAUGCUCUUGCUUCAAACAUAUAUAUGAUAAAAAGGUACGAGAGCAAGAGAGAUGCUAUAUCUACAUAUUUACCAUUUAAGUAUAUCUUAUAAGGUGGCGAUGAAUGCCCCAUAUGUCGCGUUAAGAUGCCGACUAAUGAAAAAGAAUUCAAGUUGUUGCUAGUUUAUAAGAGUGGACCAGGAUUAUCAACAACGCGUAUCAAGAGCACUUCAUCAUUCAUUCAUUCCAGAGGCCAGCAGUUGAUUUUGAUCUUGUAUAUAAUUACUUGUACCCUUCAACACUGUUAACCUAAACCAUAUUGAACUCGACAUACCAUUAAACACAAAUACUAAUUUAUCAUAAAGUCUAUCUUUAAAUCAUUUUUAUGACCAUUACUACCCUUAAAUUAUUAUUUUUUCUUAUAAUUAUAUGGAUAUAAAAGGAAAAUAAUCAAUCCAUGUUAUAAGAUUUGGCCUAAUCUAGAGUUAUGCAUGAUACUCGAGUUCAUAAGGUUUGGUCGAGAGUCCAGACAUGAGGCAAUUUCCAAUUGCAUUAAUAUAGCAACUCGAUCGACUUUCUCAAACCUCAAUUAUAAAUAUAACUUUUCUUUCUUUGUUUCUUCUUGUGGAGAUUUAAUUCUUGUGUUUGCUUUGUGAUUUUUUGAAAGAAACCAAUUAAUUAAGAUGGAAGUUCAACAUGAUUAUGAUUGUGAUGUAAAAGUAACACAAACAAAGAAAGAACAUAAUAAUAAUACUUGUGGCGAUGAACCAGAAGUGAGUUUAAAAUUUCAAUUCAACCUUGAAUGUCAUGAUGAAUUCCGUGAUGUAGAUAUAGAAAGAGGAGUAAAUAUAGAGUGGUUAAGUGGACCAAAAUAUUAUAUAAGUGAAAAAGACGUAGAGCUUAGUUUCGAAGAAUUGGUGACUUUUGAACAGUUAGGAGAUUGUGUAUGGGAAAUUAUUUCAACUCGUAAUCUUUGUGAAAGCAUUGUUGAAGGUUUAUAUAAACAACUAAUUGAUAAACUCGACCAUGAAGGCUUCAUAGCAGUUGAUGUAAACGAGAUUGCAAAAAUUGAUAUUUUGGUUCAAAUAAAUGUUCGCCACAUUGAUAUUACCUAUGUCACAAAUAUUUCUAAUGAGGUUGAUAUUGACAAUUAUGAUGGUUUUGAAGAAGAAUUGGUUACUCAUAUUCAAAAUGAGUCCAUGCAUGAUGAUUAUUUGAUACCUAAGUUAGGUGCAUCAAAAGCUUCUAUUGUCGCUUUGGAAAGUAGGAUUCUGAAGAAUGAAGAUUCAAUAGAAGAUAUUUGUACAAUUUGUCGAGAUGAAUUUUUGGUUGGGGAAGAAAUAAUAAAGAUGCCGUGUUCUCAUAUAUAUCAUGUCAAUUGUAUUUUAAAUUGGUUGGAAAACGGGCAUGUAUGUCCUAUAUGUCGUUUCGAGCUGCCUAUAAACGAAAUCAUUGAUGUUGAUGAUGAUGAUAGUGAACACCUAGAAGUCGAUGAAAUCAUAAAUGUUGAUGAUGAUGAUGAAAGUGAAAGUGAACCUAUGGAGGAGGAACACCUGGAAGUCGAUGAAAUCAUAAAUGUUGAUGAUGAUGAUGAGAGUGAAAGUGAACCUAUGGAGGAGGAAUUUUACGAGGGAGAAUUUGAAAUUUUUUGAAUAAAAUAAAAUAUUAUUUAAAUAUUAUGUGUAAUUUUACUAUUUGAUGCAUUGAUUUUGAAAUAAAUGUCAAAUUGAAUAGUAGCCGUCUAUCUAUAAACUAUUGUUUAUUAUUAUAUUUUAAUAAUACUCAUCUCUCUGUAGAUCUGAUCUGGAUCAAGCAGACACACUCUGUUGUGCUUUGCUUUGUUUGCCAACACUCUCUCUCAUUUCAAAUUUGCUAGCAAAGCCAUGUGGUAUUGAUUGGUUCUUGAUUGAUUGGUUCUUGAUUGAUUUAUUUGUUGAAUAACAACAACAACAACAACAUUACAUUUAAUUGAAGAAAGAUGGGAUCAAGCAGUAGCAGAGAUGCUUCUGCUGCUGCUGCUGCUGGUGGGGGGUCAUCUUCGUCGUCGUCGUCGUUAUCGGGGUUUGGGUCCUCUUGUCUUGGUAUGGGAUCCUCUUCUGCUGCUGCUUAUGAUUCUUCUGAUGAACUUAUUCUUGUAAGUUUUUUUUUUUUUUUUUUUUUUUUAAUUCUUUAAUUUAUCAAGAAAUUAUUGUAUUUGGAUUUGGAGCAUUUCAACACUAGAAACAAACUAUAUGUCACAAUUAGUUGAAUAUUUAGGAAUAUUUCGAUUGUCGAAUAUUCAUGAUUUUUGGGAUUUUUUCACGAUUUAGAGCAUAAAUAAAUUAUGAUUAUGUUUUUUUUUUUUGCUUAAUUUUUAGGAAUCUAAUAAUCGGAACAAACAAUUUGGUUCAUCCCAAGAUGAAUUUAUGAAGCGCAAUAAGUCAUGUCGAAAUGCCAAACUUGAAGAAGUAGAAGAACAAUCUACUAGUACUAAUAGAAGAAGCUCUUUCCAUUCCCAUAAUGCUUCUUCUUGGUAUUCAGGUCGUUUACGUUCUCGCUUUAGUUUCAUUCCGGACAUUUUUAGUUUU